GGAUUUCAAGGGAAGUCUGCUUCUCUUUGUUCUCUUCUGAAUGGAGAUUUUUAACCUACAACAGCCAGAAGAAGAGAAAAAAAGAAAAGAAAAGACCUUAAAGGAGCCACACUCUGUAGUACCAAACCUUGCCUUUGAGGUCAUUUUACCUAAACAACUUUUUGCACCCUGACCUCUGCUUCCUGAAGAACCCAAAACCUGCAACACAUGGAAAGAGAGGAUGAAGUAAGCUGUUAACUCAAGCAAGAGAUGCUUUGAGAGAGAGCAUGAACACAGCCCCCCACUACCACAAAUUAUGCAGUCGAGUUUCCCUGCAUUUGGAAAAAAUCACAGGGGUCAGCACAUCUGGAGUGCAAUGGAUAAGCCUAGCCCUGGGAAAACCACCUUCCUGAUCAUGGUAUUUCCCCU